UGAGGUGACUCAUUUCUGAAUAGUAAGAAAUGCUUGAAAAGAUUCCCCAUUCACAUUUAGGUGAUGGAACAAUCAUUUGCUGGCUGGCAGUUGUAAUUACUCUCUACUGCAGCAGGCUUGUCACCUCCACUCACUAAUGAUUUCAAGAAAUGACUCAAAAGCAACAUGUCCUACAAAAGAUUUCCUCCUGUCCCCUCCUAGAGAGGCAUUCCUUAUGACAAGGAAUUUUGUUUAAGAGGAAGAGAGAAAGUCAGCAAAACUGAUCAACACAUCAAGAAAAAAACUAACAUAUGCCACACUAUACA